AUUGAACGCUGGCGGCAGGCUUAACACAUGCAAGUCGAGCGGAGAGAGGUAGCUUGCUACUGAUCUUAGCGGCGGACGGGUGAGUAAUGCUUAGGAAUCUGCCUAUUAGUGGGGGACAACAUUUCGAAAGGAAUGCUAAUACCGCAUACGUCCUACGGGAGAAAGCAGGGGAUCUUCGGACCUUGCGCUAAUAGAUGAGCCUAAGUCGGAUUAGCUAGUUGGUGGGGUAAAGGCCUACCAAGGCGACGAUCUGUAGCGGGUCUGAGAGGAUGAUCCGCAACACUGGGACUGAGACACGGCCCAGACUCCUACGGGAGGCAGCAGUGGGGAAUAUUGGACAAUGGGGGGAACCCUGAUCCAGCCAUGCCGCGUGUGCGAAGAAGGCCUUAUGGUUGUAAAGCACUUUAAGCGAGGAGGAGGCUACUUUAGUUAAUACCUAGAGAUAGUGGACGUUACUCGCAGAAUAAGCACCGGCUAACUCUGUGCCAGCAGCCGCCGUAA
rnacentral:rRNA from 1 species